CGGGACGGGUGAGUAAUGUCUGGGAAACUGCCUGAUGGAGGGGGAUAACUACUGGAAACGGUAGCUAAUACCGCAUAACGUCGCAAGACCAAAGAGGGGGACCUUAGGGCCUCUUGCCAUCGGAUGUGCCCAGAUGGGAUUAGCUAGUAGGUGGGGUAACGGCUUACCUAGGCGACGAUCCCUAGCUGGCCUGAGAGGAUGAUCAGCCACACUGGGACUGAGACACGGUCCAG
rnacentral:rRNA from 1 species